rnacentral:rRNA from 1 species
AUACGUAGGGGGCGAGCGUUAUCCGGAAUUAUUGGGCGUAAAGAGUACGUAGGUGGUUGCGUAAGCGCAAGGUGAAAGACCGAGGCUUAACUUCGGUGAGCCUUGUGAACUGCGUGACUUGAGUGCAGGAGGGGAAAGUGGAAUUCCUAGUGUAGCGGUGAAAUGCGUAGAUAUUAGGAGGAACACCAGUGGCGAAGGCGUCUUACGGGUAUGUAUCUAACACGAAGGUACUAAUGCGCAGUGAGGAAAGAGGAUUAGAUACCCUGGUAGUCCACUGCGUAAACGAUUAGCACAAGGUGUUGGCGUAGAAAUACGUCGGUGCCGAAGUUAACACAUUAAGUGCUCCGGCUUGAGAGUUCGCACUCAACUGUGAAGCUCGAAUGAAUUGACGGGU